GACGAACGCUGGCGGCGUGCUUAACACAUGCAAGUCGAACGGAAAGGCCCUGCUUUUGUGGGGUGCUCGUGUGGCGAACGGGUGAGUAACACGUGAGUAACCCGUCCUUGACUGUGGGAUAACUUCAGGAAACUGGGGCUAAUACCGGAUAGGAUCUCCUGCUGCAUGGUGGGGGUUGGAAAGUUUCGGCUGUUGGGGAUGGACUCGGGGCUUAUCGGCUUGUUGGGGGGGUAGUGGAUUACCAAGGCUUUGACGGGUAGCCGGCCUGAGAGGGUAGCCGGCUACAUUGGGACUGGGAUACGGACCAGACCCCAAUGGGAGGCAACGGUGGAGAGUCUUACACAGGAGGCGGGGGCCUGAUGCAGAAACGCCGCGUGCGGGAAGCCGGGCUUCGGGUUGUGAACCACUGUCGCCUGUGACGAGCCGUGCGUGACGGUACUGGGUAAAGAAGCACCGGCUAACUACGUG
rnacentral:rRNA from 1 species